UUAUCUGCUUAGAAAUAUUGGCCUUGUACCACCACUGGAAGAUGUUUGCUGGUUUAUUCAGGUGGAUGUGCUACCUUCGACUUCCCCAUUGAUGUUGCUAGAAAUGUCAAAGGAACCUUAGCUCAUCCACAGGAAUUGAUGCAUCAUGUAGGACUUACAUGGCAAAGGGAAGAGGAGCCCAGAAUAGUGCAGAAAGUAUCUCUUGGCUCCUCAGAGGAACUGAGAUCCGGCCAUAUUCAGCAUAUUUAAAAGGAACCAAGGAAUAUGAGACUAGUGAAAACUUAUCAUGCUAAUGUUCUUGGAUGGUUUUCGUACAUGCAAUUGCGAAAUAGGCUCUCCUUAAUGUAUAAAGUGAAAAUUAUGGUAUCCACCAAUGAUCGCAUUAUAUGGACUAGUCCAUGUUCUUCUAGUGUUUGGGAUGGUUUCCUCCAAUGUCUAUGUAAUUCCGUUCUUAUAGUUCCAAAGCUGCAUGGCAAUCCUCUAGAUGUUUAGUAAUAUAAGCAUUCGGUUUCAAAUUGUGGUCU